rnacentral:rRNA from 1 species
GUCCUCUUGAUUUAGAUUUGAGGUUUAACCUGCCCACUGAAAUAUUUAAAUGGCCGCAGUAAUUUGACUGUGCAAAGGUAGCAUAAUCAUUAGUUUUUUAAUUAAAAGCUUGUAUGAAGGGUUGGACGAGGUAAAAUCUGUCUCUAUUUAAUUUAUAGUAAAAUUUAAUUUUUAAGUUAAAAAGCUUAAAUUUUUUUAAAAGACGAGAAGACCCUAUAGAUCUUUAUAUUAUUUAAAUUAAUUUUAAUAUAGAAUUUUUUAUUUUUUAAUUUAAAUAAUAUUUUAUUGGGGUAAUAAAAAGAUUAAAAAAAUUCUUUUUUUAAUACACAUUAAUAUAUGAAUAAGUGAUCCAAUUUUUUUGAUUUAAAGAUUAAGUUACCUUAGGGAUAACAGCGUAAUUUUUUUAGAGAGUUCAUAUCGAUAAAAAAGUUUGCGA